GCCCAGCACCGAAUCCUGUAUCGUCCUGAUACUAGGAAAUGUGGUGUUUAGGCCGCGCUUUGUGCCGGUAUGACUCUCCUCAAGUCCACUUGAUUGUGGCUUCAGGCCCAGAGAGGGUGUAAGGCCCGUGGAGGCGAGUCGUCCGGUGCCCGGCACGUCCUUAGAGUCGGGUUGUUUGGGAAUGCAGCCCAAAGCGGGUGGUAAACUCCAUCCAAGGCUAAAUACUAGCACGAGUCCGAUAGCGAAGAAGUACCGCGAGGGAAAGUUGAAAAGAACUUUGAAGAGAGAGUUCAAGAGUACGUGAAACCGCUGAGAGGCAAACUGGUGGAGCUGAAAUGGUCUUGAGGAAUUCAGCCCUUCCUACUAGAGUGGGCGUCGGUUGUGAGAUCUCACGACUCCGCUGGCGUCUUCUUCGUGAAGGAUAGGUGCACUUUCCUCUUGAUCGGACCACGACCGGCGACUUGUCACUUGUCUGACAUGAGUGGAAGGUAGCGUUCACUUCGGUGAACGUGUUAUAGCCGCGAAUUUGGACGAGCAAGGCGUUGGAAUUGAAAUGCUAGGCGCUUGCCCUCUUGGGCUCGUACGUUGUCACUUUCAGGCGUGUCGCUGGCUUCACUGCCUUUGGCAGGGGGGUUGGAGACGUGUCGGUUAGGGGCGGCCUCUGCGAUUGGCGUCGAAAGUCUGUGGUUAUGAAGUAGGCAGUCCACCUGACCCGUCUUGAAACACGGACCAAGGAGUCUAACAUGUGCGCGAGUCAUUGGGCUCUACGAAACCUAAAGGCGCAGUGAAAGUAAAGAUCCAUUUUGAUGGAUUGAGGUGGGAUCCUGAGUCACGUGCUCAGGCGCACUACCGGCCCGUUCGACAUGUAUUCAUGCGGGCGGAGCAAGAGCGUACACGUUGGGACCCGAAAGAUGGUGAACUAUGCUUGCGCAGGUCGAAGCCAGAGG
rnacentral:rRNA from 1 species